rnacentral:tRNA from 2 species
GGCCCCUUGGUCAAGCGGUUAAGACAUCGCCCUUUCACGGCGGUAACAUGGGUUCGAUUCCCAUAGGGGUCA